GACGAACGCUGGCGGCGUGCUUAACACAUGCAAGUCGAGCGGUAAGGCCCUUUCGGGGGUACACGAGCGGCGAACGGGUGAGUAACACGUGGGUGACCUGCCCUUAGCUCUGGGAUAAGCCUGGGAAACUGGGUCUAAUACCGGAUAUGACUCCAUGACGCAUGUUGUGGGGUGGAAAGCCUUGUGCGGCUAGGGAUGGGCCCGCGGCCUAUCAGCUUGUUGGUGGGGUGAUGGCCACCAAGGCGACGACGGGUAGCCGGCCUGAGAGGGCGACCGGCCACACUGGGACUGAGAUACGGCCCAGACUCCUACGGGAGGCAGCAGUGGGGAAUCUUGCGCAAUGGGCGAAAGCCUGACGCAGCGACGCCGCGUGAGGGAUGACGGCCUGG
rnacentral:rRNA from 1 species